rnacentral:rRNA from 1 species
CCCGCACAAGCGGUGGAGCAUGUGGUUUAAUUCGAUGCAACGCGAAGAACCUUACCUGGGCUUGACAUCCCGGGAAUCCCUUGGAAACAAGGGAGUGCCCUUCGGGGAACCUGGAGACAGGUGCUGCAUGGCUGUCGUCAGCUCGUGUCGUGAGAUGUAGGGUUAAGUCCCGCAACGAGCGCAACCCUUGUCUUUAAUUGCCAUCAUUGAGUUGGGCACUUUAAAGAGACUGCCGGUGUUAAACCGGAGGAAGUGGGAUGACGUCAAAUCAUCAUGCCCCUUAUGACCUGGGCUACACACGUGCUACAAUGGUUGGUACAACGAGUUGCGAGUCGGUGACGGCGAGCUAAUCUCUUAAAGCCAAUCUCAGUUCGGAUUGUAGGCUGCAACUCGCCUACAUGAAGUCGGAAUCGCUAGUAAUCGCGGAUCAGCACGCCGCGGUGAAUACGUUCCCGGGCCUU